UUUGUUUUCCUCUAAUAUCUCA
rnacentral:miRNA from 1 species